rnacentral:rRNA from 1 species
UACGUAGGGUGCGAGCGUUAAUCGGAAUACUGGGCGUAAAGCGUGCGCAGGCGGUGAUGUAAGACCGAUGUGAAAUCCCCGGGCUUAACCUGGGAACUGCAUUGGUGACUGCAUUGCUAGAGUAUGGCAGAGGGGGGUGGAAUUCCACGUGUAGCAGUGAAAUGCGUAGAGAUGUGGAGGAACACCGAUGGCGAAGGCAGCCCCCUGGGCCAAUACUGACGCUCAUGCACGAAA